rnacentral:rRNA from 1 species
ACUCCUACGGGAGGGCAGCAGUAGGGAAUCUUCCACAAUGGGCGCAAGCCUGAUGGAGCAACACCGCGUGAGUGAAGAAGGGUUUCGGCUCGUAAAGCUCUGUUGUUAAAGAAGAACACGUAUGAGAGUAACUGUUCAUACGUUGACGGUAUUUAACCAGAAAGUCACGGCUAACUACGUGCCAGCAGCCGCGGUAAUACGUAGGUGGCAAGCGUUAUCCGGAUUUAUUGGGCGUAAAGAGAGUGCAGGCGGUUUCCUAAGUCUGAUGUGAAAGCCUUCGGCUUAACCGGAGAAGUGCAUCGGAAACUGGAUAACUUGAGUGCAGAAGAGGGUAGUGGAACUCCAUGUGUAGCGGUGGAAUGCGUAGAUAUAUGGAAGAACACCAGUGGCGAAGGCGGCUACCUGGUCUGCAACUGACGCUGAGACUCGAAAGCAUGGGUAGCGAACAGGAUUAGAUACCCUGGUAGGAUAGCG